rnacentral:rRNA from 1 species
UACGUAGGGUGCGAGCGUUUGUCCGGAAUUAUUGGGCGUAAAGAGCUCGUAGGCGGUGUGUCACGUCGGCCGUGAAAACCUGCAGCUUAACUGUGGGCUUGCGGUCGAUACGGGCAUCACUGGAGUUCGGCAGGGGAGACUGGAAUUCCUGGUGUAGCGGUGAAAUGCGCAGAUAUCAGGAGGAACACCGGUGGCGAAGGCGGUGGUCUGGGCCGGAACUGACGCUGAGGAGCGAAAGCGUGGGGAGCGAACAGG